GUCAGAAUCCGAGGUGGAGGUGAGAGCUGGGGAUAGCAAGUGAGAUGGGUACGGGCUGGCUCAGCCAUGCCCAGCUCUCUAACUCUUUCUUUGUGCCCUCAG
ensembl:miRNA